GACGAACGCUGGCGGCGUGCUUAACACAUGCAAGUCGAACGGUAAGGCCCUUCGGGGUACACGAGUGGCGAACGGGUGAGUAACACGUGGGUAAUCUGCCCUGCACAUCGGGAUAAGCCUGGGAACCUGGGUCUAAUACCGAAUAGGACCACAGGACACAUGUCCUGUGGUGGAAAGCUUUUGCGGUGUGGGAUGGGCCCGCGGCCUAUCAGCUUGUUGGUGGGGUGAUGGCCUACCAAGGCGACGACGGGUAGCCGGCCUGAGAGGGUGUCCGGCCACACUGGGACUGAGAUACGGCCCAGACUCCUACGGGAGGCAGCAGUGGGGAAUAUUGCACAAUGGGCGAAAGCCUGAUGCAGCGACGCCGCGUGGGGGAUGACGGCCUUCGGGUUGUAAACCUCUUUCACCAUCGACGAAGGUCCGGGUUUUCUCGGGCUGACGGUAGGUGGAGAAGAAGCACCGGCCAACUACGUG
rnacentral:rRNA from 1 species